rnacentral:lncRNA from 1 species
UGACAUGGCUCCCAAAGGGCAUGUUCCCAUAGUGUAUGAGAUGCAGUUACAUAGCAGGGAAGAGUCCUAAGAGUGGACAAGGGCACCAGCAUAAAAGAGGUGGAUGCUUCAUCUCAGCCAGCACUGGUGUCACCUUGGUGAGAAUGCUACCUCUUAAUCUGUGCCUGAGGAGAAGACUUUCGUUUCCACUUCAGUUAGUCCUGUCUCCUUUGUAAGACUGACAUUCACACAAACAUUUUUAACUGCAAAAGGACAGCCCUGUUUCUGCUUCGCACAGGAGAUGUUUUCCUGUGACCCCUUUGCGUCCUUGUGUUCUAGCAUUUAAAGACAAACAGCUGUCCCAGGCUUCAGCUGGAGGAGGAAAAGGAAGACACCAUCAAGCACAAAUGUUAGUAAGUCACUUUUCCUCUCAUUGUCUGGUAUAUCUAGGAUCAUUUCUAGCCCUGGAAACAAUUGUCUCUCUGAUGCCCUUACAUUUGAUUUUAUUCACUGGUAUUGAACAUCAGCAUUUCAAAAUGCCUUCUUGAAGUGUGAGUCUUGUUUCUCUUGAUUUAAACUGGAAACGGAUCUGCUUCUUUGAUGGAUGCUUGCUGGUCUGGUGGGAUAGAUGAAGAGAACGGACCUACCAGAUGGAGGAGCAGAGCUUGAAAGCAGAACAGAGAUGGAGGAAUAAAACUUGAAAGCAGAACCAAGAUCCAUAUCACCACCCUAAAAAAACAACUACUUUAAAAAACAAGUGAAGAAAAAAAAAAUUGUGACCUUGGACCCUUCCAAAAUGCCAAGAGGCAUUUCUUUGGGGUUGAGCACCUCAGAGGCUUCUGUGUGCUUUUUGUCGUCACCACCAGGGCAGCGUGGCGUGUGGACAAGCCAACUGGUUGGUGCAUCUCAGUUGAGAUGGUGAUAUGACAAGGCCAUGGACAGGACUGACUGCCAGAAUUACUGUCACAAGGAAAUCUUGUGCCUCCUUGGAAAGCAAGGACUCAAAAUCAGAGGUGUUUGGCUUUCUAUAGAACUUCAAGAAGCUCUCCCCCAGUCAGUGGCAAGUUGGUACUCAUGCAGCUGGACACGUACCCCUAGACACAGGGGUGUAUGCACACACACAAGCACGUGUGCACUUCACUAUUUUGCUCAGUGUAUUUUGACCUUCAGCACCAAAGUAGGACUCACUUCUGACUACAGGAUUUAUGUCAAAGCUGAGCCUCUGGGGGCAUCCUUCCCCAAGACAGGGAGAACAAGGACAGGAGACACCCAGGGAGAAGGCUGGCAUGACCUUGAUUUUGCAGCAGCACAGGCAUGAGAAUUUCCAUGGUGGAGUUUGAAAUACCUCUUGGUUUGCAUAGCGGAGAUAAAUUGCACUAAAUAGAAUGGGGAACAUGACGGUAAUUAACAGAAAUGAAAAGAUUUAGCUGUCCAAGUUGAAAGAGGUAGCUGGCCAGCAAAGGAAUGGCUGUAUGUCUGUUUGGAGGGUCGUGUAUCUCAGACACGCUCUGUAGUUGGUCUGCUGCCUUUUCAGUAAAGUCACAUUUGUCCUCCCACUGGGUCUGGCAGGAGCACCAAAGGCAGAAGCUUCUCAGACUUUCACUACCCAAAUUUUAUAGGAAGACGUAGUGAACACUACCUAGUCAUAUCAUACUAUAGGGACAGCCUAGGCUUAGAGACAGUUUUGCAAAAAAAAAAAAAAAAGUAUAUAUAUAGUGUGUAUAUAUAUAUAUAUAUAUAUAUAUAUAUGAACUUGAAUCUCUCGUGUCUUCUGGAUGUGGAUAAGAGGGAGAAAACUGGUGACACCUAAACUCCCCAAACUACUUGACCAUGUAGCUACAGCUACAGCUUCCUGGGCUCCUCUUUCCAACUGCAGCAGCAUCAGUAAUCUUUUGCUAAUAUAUAUGGGUAUAAAAGUUUUUGAGAGAUCCCAAAACAGAAAGACUCUUACCUGUAUCUUUGUUUUCCUUCCUGUGUUAAUAAUAGCCACUAUAUUCCCAAUAAAAAUAUUCAGAGUACUGUGUUACGUCUGUUU